rnacentral:tRNA from 1 species
GCGGGUGUAGUUUAAUGGUAGAACGCCAGCUUCCCAAGCUGGACACGAGGGUUCGAUUCCCUUCACCCGCU